CCCAAGGGUAUGGCUGUUCGCCAUUUAAAGUGGUACGCGAGCUGGGUUUAGAACGUCGUGAGACAGUUCGGUCCCUAUCUGCCGUGGGCGCUGGAGAAUUGAGGGGGGCUGCUCCUAGUACGAGAGGACCGGAGUGGACGCAUCACUGGUGUUCGGGUUGUCAUGCCAAUGGCACUGCCCGGUAGCUAAAUGCGGAAGAGAUAAGUGCUGAAAGCAUCUAAGCACGAAACUUGCCCCGAGAUGAGUUCUCCCUGAGACUAUAAGUCUCCUGAAGGAACGUUAAAGACGAUGACGUUGAU
rnacentral:rRNA from 1 species